GUGGAGCAUGUGGUUUAAUUCGAUGCAACGCGAAAAACCUUACCCACCUUUGACAUGGCAGGAAGUUUCCAGAGAUGGAUUCGUGCUCGAAAGAGAACCUGCACACAGGUGCUGCAUGGCUGUCGUCAGCUCGUGUCGUGAGAUGUUGGGUUAAGUCCCGUAACGAGCGCAACCCUUGUCCUUAGUUACCAGCACGUUAUGGUGGGCACUCUAAGGAGACUGCCGGUGACAAACCGGAGGAAGGUGGGGAUGACGUCAAGUCCUCAUGGCCCUUAUAGGUGGGGCUACACACGUCAUACAAUGGCUGGUACAGAGGGUUGCCAACCCGCGAGGGGGAGCUAAUCCCAUAAAACCAGUCGUAGUCCGGAUCGCAGUCUGCAACUCGACUGCGUGAAGUCGGAAUCGCUAGUAAUCGCAAAUCAGAAUGUUGCGGUGAAUACGUUCCCGGGCCUUGUACACACCGCCCGUCACACCAUGGGAGUGGGUUGCACCAGAAGUAGCUAGUCUAACCUUCGGGAGGACGGUUACCACGGUGUGAUUCAUGACUGGGGUGAAGUCGUAACAAGGUAGCCGUAGGGGAACCUGCGGCUGGAUCACCUCCUU
rnacentral:rRNA from 1 species